UUUUUGGAAAUAAUUUAAAGUCUAAUCUGCCCACUGAUAAAUAUAUUAAAGGGCUGCAGUAUUUUGACUGUACAAAGGUAGCAUAAUCAUUAGUCUCUUAAUUGGUGACUUGUAUGAAAGAUUGGAUGAAAUAUAAACUGUCUCUAAUUAAUUUAUAAAAUUUAAUUUUUUAGUAAAAAAGCUAAAAUAAUUUUAAAAGACGAGAAGACCCUAUAGAGUUUUAUAAUUUAUUUGAUUAUUAUUAAUAUGUAAAUUUUAAAAUUAAAAUUAAAUAAAUUAUUUUGUUGGGGUGACAGAAAGAUUAAAUUAACUUUUUUAAAUAAUUAACAUUAAUUUAUGAAUAAAUGAUCCAUUAAUAUUGAUUAAAAGAAAAAAUUACCUUAGGGAUAACAGCGUAAUUUUUUUUUUUAGUUCAAAUAGGAAAAAAAGUUUGCGACCUCGAUGUUGGAUUAAGAUAAAAUUUAAAUG
rnacentral:rRNA from 1 species